AUUGAACGCUGGCGGCAGGCCUAACACAUGCAAGUCGAGCGGAUGAGUGGAGCUUGCUCCAUGAUUCAGCGGCGGACGGGCGAGUAAUGCCUAGGAAUCUGCCUGGUAGUGGGGGACAACGUUUCGAAAGGAACGCUAAUACCGCAUACGUCCUACGGGAGAAAGUGGGGGAUCUUCGGACCUCACGCUAUCAGAUGAGCCUAGGUCGCAUUAGCUAGUUGGUGAGGUAAAGGCUCACCAAGGCGACGAUCCGUAACUGGUCUGAGAGGAUGAUCAGUCACACUGGAACUGAGACACGGUCCAGACUCCUACGGGAGGCAGCAGUGGGGAAUAUUGGACAAUGGGCGAAAGCCUGAUCCAGCCAUGCCGCGUGUGUGAAGAAGGUCUUCGGAUUGUAAAGCACUUUAAGUUGGGAGGAAGGGCAGUAAGUUAAUACCUUGCUGUUUUGACGUUACCAACAGAAUAAGCACCGGCUAACUUCGUGCCAGCAGCCGCCGUAACAC
rnacentral:rRNA from 1 species